UUGGAGCAUGAGCUUUCGUGAAGCAGCAAUGGUAUGGACUACACUUACAGCGUACAGCGCUGGGAGUACAGCUGUCUUCAAUACAGCGUGUAGGGAAAACCACGCCAGUUGGCCACACUGACAGCUACCAGU